UACGGGGGGGGCAAGCGUUGUUCGGAAUUACUGGGCGUAAAGGGCUCGUAGGCGGCCAACUAAGUCAGACGUGAAAUCCCCAGGCUCAACCUGGGAACUGCGUCCGAUACUGGAUGGCUUGAAUUCGGGAGAGGGAUGCAGAAUUCCGGGUGUAGCGGUGAAAUGCGUAGAGAUCCGGAGGAACACCAGUGGCGCAGGCGGCCCACUGGAUCGGUACUGACGCUGAGGUGCGAAAGCGUGGGGAGCAAACAGG
rnacentral:rRNA from 1 species